CUUCUGAUGCAUCCUCGCGACUAAUGACAACCUUCAAUCCACAGGAAUAAAGCCUCUCAUUAGCCGCGCGAACCUCUGCAACAAAAGAUCACCCAUGCAACAAUACAUUAGUUUGGCUUGAAUUGCUGCCGGUUACUUGAAAAAAGGGGCCAUGAUGGCCCCUUUUU
rnacentral:sRNA from 1 species